UUAUCAUAUAUCCUCCCUAUGGCGUUUGCCACUUGAUUGACACACAGGGCGGCCAGUCUGAGAUCUCUUUUCUUCUAACACACUGGUCAUCCUGCCCACACGACCAAACGCGCAAGCUACUGCAAAACUCUGGCUAUCUAAGUGAUCUAGUUAGCCUUCCAAUUUAUAUCGACUAAAGAAGGGAUUUAAAAAAAAUUGUUGGUUAUGGGCUGGAUGUGGAAUUGGAAGAGGAUUUUUUUUUCUCACAAUGUCAAAAUCGAAGUGCGUUUGUCUGAUCUGUCAAUCUUUCAUUACAAUUCCAAAGAAGGAAAAUGUGGAAAGGCACUUUCGAACUGUUCAUAAAAACUAUGAAACUGACUUCCUUCCGAAAAGCGAUCUGAGAAAGAGAAAGGAGAGGGAACUAAAAUCACACUGGAGACGCAAUGGAAGGCGUGUGUGCAACUUGACAGCAUACGCUACACAGAGCAGAUUGAAAAUUGUCUGUCAGACUUUGACAGACGUUUUCAAGACUCAGCUUUACUUGAGCCAAUCGCUACAUUUAAGUGCUAUCCAUUUAGAGAAGAUGUUGAGGGUGAUUCAGCCGCAUCAAAAAUUACAA